UAUAUUUUGGUGUAUGAUGCACAAAAGUUUUUGAUACUUUUAGAAAUAGGUUAAUUCUAUUAAAUAUAA
rnacentral:tRNA from 1 species